rnacentral:rRNA from 1 species
AGGGUGCGUAGGCGGCGCGGUAAGUCGGGUGUGAAAUCUCGGGGCUUAACUCCGAAACUGCAUUCGAUACUGCCGUGCUUGAGGACUGGAGAGGAGACUGGAAUUUACGGUGUAGCAGUGAAAUGCGUAGAUAUCGUAAGGAAGACCAGUGGCGAAGGCGGGUCUCUAGACAGUUCCUGACGCUGAAGUACGAAGGCCAGGGGAGCAAACGGGAUUAGAUACCCCGGUAGUCCUGGCAGUAAACGGUGCACGUUUGGUGUGGGAGGAUUCGACCCCUUCUGCGCCGGAGCUAACGCGUUAAACGUGCCGCCUGGGGAGUACGGUCGCAAGAUUAAAACUCAAAGAAAUUGACGGGGGCCCGCACAAGCGGUGGAGUAUGUGGCUUAAUUCGAUGCAACGCGAAGAACCUUACCUGGCCUUGACAUGCAUCUCUAAACCGGUGAAAGCCGGUGAGUGUAGCAAUACACAAUUUGCACAGGUGCUGCAUGGCUGUCGUCAGCUCGUGUCGUGAGAUGUUGGGUUAAGUCCCGCAACGAGCGCAACCCCUGUGAACUGUUGCCACCAAGCCGUGAGGCUUGAGCACUCUGUUCAGACUGCCCCUUUUCAAAGGGGAGGAAGGUGGGGACGACGUCAAGUCAGUAUGGCCCUUACGGCCAGGGCUGCACACGUACUACAAUGCCCAGUACAGAACGAUCCGAGACCGCGAGGUGGAGGAAAUCUAUCAAAACUGGGCCCAGUUCGGAUUGAAGUCUGCAACCCGACUUCAUGAAGCCGGAAUCGCUAGUAAUGGCGCAUCAGCUACGGCGCCGUGAAUACGUUCCCGGGCCUUGUACACACCGCCCGUCACAUCAUGGGAGUCGCUUGUAGCCGAAGUGCAUGUGCCAACCCGCAAGGGACGCAGU